AUUCUUCUUGGCACAGAUUCUUUUCUAUGCUGAGCGUGUGCCUGUGGUUAUCUCCAUGUUUUUAUAAGACUCAGCUCCACUGACAGCAGUUAACUUGGACCCAACCAGAUCAACUAAGGUCCUUCUCUAGCAUUGGAUUUGGCCCAGAGAGCCUCUUGGCAUCUCAGUGGUUGAAACUGUAUGAUAGGUAAUUUAAGAACUAUCAGUAGCCAUAUUUGCCUGCUUCUGAAGAGUGCUGGUUUACAGUGAGAAGGAAUAAGGCCUACCUAUGGAGAGAAACAGAGACAGAAACAAUCCCAGUGAGGUUCAUGUUUCUGGUUCCGGUUGUUCCUGAUGCCCCUCUGCUUCCGUGCACUUCCAGAAGCAGGAGCUGAACACAGGAACUGGUGCCUUAAGGGAAUGGAGGCCACGAAGGCUGAUGAGGUCCGGAGGUUGAUGAGGUCCAGAGGUUGAGGAGCCAGGAAGAAGGUAGACCUCAAGUCCUAAAAUCACCACAAUGCAACAUCUCUAGGCCAGAAACUAAACCCUGGUAGGAAAAGGGUCCCAAGGGAGACAAGGCAUGGGGCCAAGGAAGACCGAGGGGGACAGCAACCUUCCGAGGCACUGGAGCUACAGAAUCCCUGGGGCUCACAGAUUUAUGAGUUUGUGUGGCAUUCACAUGGAUCUGCCCUUCUGUCAAAGUGGCCAUAACGGAUGUGAUCUCACAAAGGUAGGGCUGAUCAGCGCCAAUGUCACGCUCUAAGUCAUAGUCAUACGUUUGCAGCCUGCAAAAUGAUGGAAUGGAAUAGACCCUGUUCACAGCGAUGUUCCCUUCUUGGGAAUUGCAACUGAGAAGACAGACCCUCACUGGCCAUGUCUCUACACCAGUGCCAAUCUAGGACAACCAGAGUGUCUAUUCCAAAGAGUUUGAAAUUUUGAGCUGAAAGAUACAGAAAUGAAAGACUAGUAGAAAGUGUAGGAACUUCUGCCCCUAAAGUUCCCAGAGUUAUUUUAAUUCUGUUAUUUCUCUGUGGUUUGGAUACAGCCUAUAUUAGUUUUCGGUAGCUGUUGUGGCAAAUUAGUACACACUGAGUGGCUAAAAAACAUGAAUUUCUUCCUUGCCUUCCCUAGGCAAGGUUUAUGGCUCCAUCACUCCCAUCUCUGCCUCUGUCUGCACAUCAUCUUCUCCCGUGUCUUUCCCCCUUUAUGUGUGUCUUAUAGAGAUACUUGCCAUUGGAUUUAGGGCCCACCGGGAUUGUUUCCUCAUCUCAAGAUCCUUAACUUAAUUACCUCAACAAAGACCCUUUUUCUAAAUAAAGUCACAUUCACAGGUUCUGGGGGUUCUGAU
rnacentral:lncRNA from 1 species